UACGUAGGGUGCGAGCGUUAAUCGGAAUUACUGGGCGUAAAGCGUGCGCAGGCGGUUCGUUAAGUCAGAUGUGAAAGCCCCGGGCUCAACCUGGGAACUGCAUUUGAAACUGGCGGGCUUGAGUGUGGCAGAGGGGGGUGGAAUUCCGCGUGUAGCAGUGAAAUGCGUAGAGAUGCGGAGGAACACCGAUGGCGAACGGCAGCCCCCUGGGCCAACACGUGACGCUCGAGGCACGGAAAGCAGUGGGGAGCAAACACGGG
rnacentral:rRNA from 1 species